rnacentral:lncRNA from 7 species
ACAGUCAGCUCCAAACCCACAGAAUUAUUGGUGUUGUUACCUAACGUAUCAGGAACAGAGUUACUGGAAAAAGAGGAGAAAGAGAUUGAAAAGGAGUGAGAAUAUAAAUCAGAGAGGCUGAAUGUGGAAGGCUUGUGGAUUUGCAUCUGAUCUGCCCACAGAGUUGAGGUGGCUGCUCAGGAAGGAGUGCUUGAGAACAGUGUAAAUCUCCAUGCAGAUACUCCUGGGGAAACCCCUUCAAGUGACUGACAGCAAACUGGAACUAUGGCUUUUUCUGCACAGAGCUGCCACGUCUGGAGCGGUGCUGCACACUGAUUCUGCUGAGUGAGUGCCUGCUCAAAUCAUAGCCCCGGUUUAAAUGCUGAGGACAGAUAGGACAUGACUUCGUUCUGCUUUGGGCUAGGCACGCCUGGUAAACCUUGUGACACCAUUGCAACAACUGACUUGGUAAUCAGGAAAGCAAGCCUGCUGUUUUUAUCCUCCAGUAGUGAGGAAGAUGUAAUGCUUUACAGAAGUUCCUGAGACGCAGCUGUGUUUUUCUUUCUGAGCUGCUGGGAGCAACUCCACUCUUCCAUGUGUAACUUUGUAUGUAUCUACAUUUGGAUCGAAUUCUUUUGGAAGAGUGGAAUCACCUGUGGGUAUAAAUAACAUCCUAGCAUGGUUUUUAGCUUUAGUGUUCCGGGAACACAGAUAAGUUCUUUAAAGAGAAGCGAUAGCUAGCAUCAAACUAAAUGACUAUAUAUACAAAUUCUAAUCCUAAUACACCUCACUCUUC